CGAAGAGCCCGAAAAUUCACGUGAAGCUGAAAGUAAACAGUUCCACGCUGUUGCUUUCUAGCAAAGGAUGUCUAAACUUAGAAGCGCCUAGCUGGAAUGGAGACAAGUUCUGAAGGUGUUUCCUGAAGAAAGGAGUGAAGGACAGAAAGCUCCUGCCAACAUCAGCGCUCCCUCCAGUCCUGCCAUGCUGGAACCAAGCCCUGCGCAGCCCUUGAGCCCUCCUCCAGCCAGGUCCUGGCACAUCAUGGCAUCAUGGGAAGACACAAUAAUCCCGCUACUUCCAGAUGUGGAGGUGGUGCUCUCCUCCCCCCUCCUCGGUUGCUCUGGUGUUGGAGCAGGUGCUCUGAUUCCACUGCUACCAGCACUCAAGCUGCCCCCAGCACCAACACCACCACUUCGCCUUUUUGGUGGUGGACCCCAGAGGAAGGCGUGGGCAGGCCUGUAGUGCUGGCGGGCGUAGCGGAGCAGGCGACGGCGGGUUGCUGGGAGGCGGAUGGUGUAGACGUAGUACUCCAGGACGCUGUGCUGCAUGUUGGGGAGGGUGUUAUGGCACAGGGACUCCUCCAGGAAGAGGCGGACCAGUGGAGCUUUGAAGGCCUCAUAUCCAAGCUCGCCUAGGGACUUCAAGAUGCGAGUGAUCCGCAGGUAGUUGUGGUGGGAUCUUUAAAGGAAAAAGAGUAGGUAAACAAAUAUGAUGAAUCGGGAUGAUCUACUGUGCAUAACAGGGCAUUUUCCAAGAACACUUUUUGACAUGUCACAAUAGGAAAAGCAGUGGCGGGGUAUUCAACAAGCUAACAAGCUAAGACACUGUCACAUCAUCAUGAGUUACCAAGACACAUGAAUAGUACAGAGGCCUCAUUAAUGUUGACAAAUCAAAAUGUCUGCUGUGAUAUAAAGACUGGUACAGUUGAAGUACCCAUUCCAGUCCAUACUAAGUUUGUACAUUUGUUUUAACAUUUAAUAACAAAACUAGAUAUAUACAAAUCUAAGAACAUUUCAGAUACCCACGUCAUGAUUCUUCUUUGGAGAAAGGACUCCACUUGUAUCAUUCAUAAGUGUGGGGUUUCUCAUUUCAGACAUUUUCAAAUAUUAUUAUAUUUGUACAUCCAGUUUCAGAUAUCUGCAGUUUAAUUCUGAUUCUAGCUUAAAAAUCCCCUCAAUUCAAGAUACCUACACUGGUCUUUUAAGAUAUCUUAAAUUAUGUCAGAACUACUCACAAUAACAUUUAGAUAUUGCAAACUAGAAUUUUGUACAGUCAAAGUUCCAGAUAUCCUGAGUUAGAGUUUUGACUCAGCAAAGGGAUUGUUGCAGAUAUCUGCAGUGUCCAGUGCUACUGCAAGUGGGAGGUGGAGGCUGGGAUGACUUGCUUUUCAAACAUACUAUGGUAAUUCAGCCGUAAUCGUAUAUAAGAAACCAAUUUGCCGCCAUGUCAGGGCAAAGUUGUGGUAAGUUUUGACAACAAUUCUCUAAUGAACAAAGCUCUCGUUCUCCCAACCCCCUUGCUGAGGAACUCAUUCUAUUACAUAUCCUUUUCUAACUAAUCUAUCCACUACAGCAACUGCCAUUUCCACGUCUAAUGCUGUUCAAAUGCGUGGCUGGACCAACGCUCCUUGUGAAGCCUUGCAUGAGCAGCAUCACGCACACACUGUCACAGAGCGAAAGGUGAACAGGUCACCAGUCGAUCACAGGACUGACACGCAGGAAGACGGACAACCCCACAUCUACUGGUAACAUUUAGAAGGAAUCAGUCACAUAUGUUGUUGCACUGACUAUGAACUAUAAAAUACUGCAUGUGAAAAUGGGCCCAAGCAGUGCUUGGCCUUUGGUCUUAAUGGAGGCAUAGGGAUGGUGAUGGGGUCUUUAAGAAUACAGAGACCUGUUCCUUAAUGACUGUGGUUACUUGCCUUGAGAGAAAUCUAGAAACCAGAUGCAGAGCUUUUCCAGCAUUUUUAAUGGGAAAUUAAAAGCAAGACAGGGAAAUAAAACUGUACUGAGCAGCUGUUUAAUGGUGGAGAAUUUCUUGUUUUUCAUGUGGUUGGGAAUUAACGGCAACAAUUACCAUAAGACACUUAGGUUUAGUGGAGGUUUGUGACUUGAGGAGGCUGCAGUAACAGCCCUGAGACUGUGCUGGGUACAAAGACAGACACAUACUUCAGUACAAACUAUAAAAUGAGGUAUUCAGGUGGCUCUUUGGCAAGAAAACGCAAUGACUUAUCUCAGGCUAAGAAACUAUCAAAAAAAGGAUGUGAAGGGAAAGGAAAUCUUCCUCUAAAUUACUCUUAAACCAUCUGUUUGCUGGCUUAAAACGUGCUGUUUCACAUUUGGCUGCUGAUAGAGGAACAAUUAGGUUGCACAGGAUUUAGAAUGAUUGCCUUGCUAAAGACACAAAAGCAGCAAUUGGCAACCAAGCGAUGAGUUCACAAAAUCUGGAUGCAAUUUUAUACCCCGAAGCUGCUGUACGAUGGGGUUUUAUGUGUGUGUGUGUGUGUGUGUGUUUACUUACUCAUUAAGGUGCUGGAAGCGCUGCUGCCAGUUGGGAGCCCGAGCAACAUUACCGCUCUUAUCCAGCAGUUUGAUGCCAUAGAAGUCCAACAUCAGGGAAUAGGCCGCCAGAAAUCUUCGCUUUGCUUCCCGAGCGCUUUGGAAUUCCUGACAAGAUUCAAUGCAACACGUCAGUAACCGACCGACAGGUGGUGGCGGAUUUUCUCUCUCCCUCCUCCCUUCUCCUCUCUCUCCAGGUGGGUGUGAGCGUGGUGCGUGGUAUGUUGGCAGGUGCUGCCAAUCUGCAAUCACCUGGAUUCUCCACCUGUUCUCCACCAUAAGUCUGGACUCUCCUGGAUCCCCACCUGAAAAUCACCAGGGCUUCAGCACCCGCCUCACCUCCACCAUCCUCCACGCCACCUCUGCCUGCAUCGUCCGUCUCCGCUUCCCCUCACGCCUGCAGUCAGCUAAGUUCCCCACUCACUCUCAGACUCCAGCCACAGCUUAGUUCUGUAGAUCAGUAGUUGGAUUUCUUUGUGACUGUUUCUCCGGUUUGGUGUCUAGUAAUACUCCCUGUAAUUUGUGUAUUCUGUUGUAACUUUCCCAGCUCGGUUAUACCUAGUCCUGGUUAGUUGUUUUCUCUUCUUUAUCUGUGUGUCUUUUCAGUUCUGUGGUUUAUGAGUAAUACUUUCUGUUGUAGUUUUCUGCUGGUUUGGAAAUGGUUUAACUCCAAAUGCCUGUCUGCCGUGUCUUUGUUGUCCUGCGCUUGAGUCUCUGUACCAGUGCUGUAACACAUGUCUUAUGUUGUGUUGUACGAAUGGCCAAGGUGUCUAUAUUUGUUGUGGAUGACUACACUUAUAGGUGUCUACACUGAACAUAUGUGAACAGUUCGAGGAGCAGAUGUGCUGCAGAAUGUGUCUUUUUGUUGGCUACACCUGCAAUGCAAGAACAACGUAAGGUUGUGCCAAAACAAGACCGUGAGCUUUCACUGUAGGAUUGUUGUGACUUCUCUUUUUGGGCCCAGUGAAAUGUUAAGUUUUUCACAAAGUAUGGAUAAUGUGGGAAAAUUGACUGCUACAGACUAUAGUAGACUUUGGAAAGAAUACAGUUACUUAGCAACCAUCAGAGGCAGACUGCUGGCAAAUAAGUACCACCAGGGUAAUCAAGACUCCAAAGUGCAGGCCCUAUCUGAUACAAAGAAGUCAUUUCUGUUAUACCACUGGUUUCAUUCAAAUCAUAUAGACACUUUAUGACCUAUUUCUGAGUAAAAGCAUCACAAACACCUUGCAUACAAUAUAUGAAUACAAGAUUGAUCAGUUUUUACAUUUGCAGCUCCACUGCUCUCAUGCCAGGCAUAGCCACUUUUUUUUUUGAUUACAGUAGAAGUGUAAUCAGUGUGAAUGCUCUGCACACACACAGUGUAACCACAGGAUUGGAGUUGGAGUGAAAAAAAAAUGGCAUCAUAGCCACAAGCCGGCUGAUGGAGCCACCUCCAGCAAGGAGCAAUUCCUCUGGUGUCAAAAAGAAGUUCAACUGUAUUGAAAUCUCUGAGAAAAUGACUGUACUUCUUAUUUGAUGUCAGUGAGCACUUUGUUAAUUUGUAGCCCCAGUCAUUAGGUUUAGGUCUCCUUCAGUACAAUGCAAUGUUUAUUUAGUAGUAAUAAAAAUAAUAAAGCAGUCUAUGUUUCAGGGCUACCUUGUGAUUGACAGGUUGGUACCAUAUCGGUGUAUUCUCAGUCAGAUCCACCCCUCACUUAUAAUGUUACACUAUAACCAGGAUGGUGAUCAUCAAACUGACACUUGACAACCCAGAUGGGUGAUGUUACGAGGCAUCUUUCAUAUAGUCUACAUUCCCUCCCUUGGCCCGACCAUGGGGUCCUACAUGAACCGUUUCUUUUGAGGAUCAGGGGGUAGUGAUAAUCUACACGUCAUUUGGAGGGCUUGACGAAACAGGACACCCUACCCUACAUGGCAGUACACAAAGCGGAGGAGUCGGGCCAAGUGCCAAGUUGGGGAAUUAGGAUUUGGCCCAAAAACUGUCUUUUGUGUUGGUAGUCUGAUUCAAAUGUGGACAAAGCUGCACAUUUCAGGCUAUAUGCAGUUUAUAGGCUAUACGUAUUUAUGCACUCAGUUCAGGUUCACAUGAAGCAUUUUUUACUGUCUGCCACAAACAUCUAAUGCAUUGUUGUUUGACAGUGUAAUUUAAUAAACUACCCUGGGAACACAGUGAACAAAACAAAAUAUGACAAUGUACUACUGAGUCAUGUUAACCUGCCACUUAGGGAAAUAGCUUCCCACGGGAAAAGUUACAUCAUUUUGAAAGUAGCCAAGUUACCUGGCCACUAUUGGAAAAAACAGUUCAGCUAAUAGCUUUGUUAAAUGUAACGCCUACGCCCAAAACUGCUAAUGCUCUGUUAUUGUUACUGCUGUAUAAAUGGUUAUAUUGUUCCUCACUUCCAUUAUAGAUUUGGCCAAAAAAAAAAAUAAUUAAGAGCGUGCCAGCCCACACAGAGUACUGAUGCACACAUCACAGCUGGUGCCCUUUUUGUAAUACAUACGAGAAUUGGAUUUGCCGAUAAAAAGGAUCAAAAUAACUAGAUGUCAUUAUUAUACCUGGCAAGGACAAGAACCAAACGGCAGCUGCCUGAGGAUGAAAAGAUAUUUAAACUCCAAACACCUAACAAUGCAUGGAGAGGAUUAUAGACUGGCCUCUUAAAUCUGACACACUGCCAAAUGUUAAUAAUCUUCAUCAAAUAUAAAACUAUAGACCCUCCCACACUGUAAUGAUGUCCGAUAAAACUGUCCUGUUUUAUAUUCUGAAUCUGCAGUGCUUGCAGUGUUCAGGUUUGCUUUGACUGUGUCAGAGACAGACAGAUUGAACUCUGCAGCCUUUAUUACCGUUGCAGUUAUCGAGCAGCGUGUCAGUAAAAUACAAACCAGGUUGCAACAACAUGAAUUAACCAACCAAAAUGACCACAGAGUUGAAUUAACGUAGAGCUGAAGAAAAGCUGAGCUUCACUCACUUAACGGAGGACGCAUUCAUUACAGGGCUGCUGUAUUGGAUUGCAUCAUGAUGUUUUUUUCCUUUUUGGGCGAUGAAUGUAAAAUACAAUGUGUUGGAGCCAUUUCAAUCGGUAACCAGUAAGUGGUGCUGUGACCUAGUUACCUGUAUUUAAAGGCCACACUAAUAGCCACAGGUGUGGCGCAAACAGGAAAUGAAUUGUUUUUGACCGUGGCAUGGCGGACUGUUGGAAAGACUUUGCUCUUUGUUAAUUUUGAUGAACUCCAGACGGUAAAUAAACUGAUGAUACAUCCAUUCAUAAUUGUGAGUUUGGACGAUUACUUUUUUUGAAUAUAGACUCUAUUGGUGUUAUUUUUGUUAUUUUUGGGCCACGACGGAGUAUAAGAGCACGUCAGAGCAGCCAGAAGCCACGCGUUCUUAACGGAACCAAGUUUGUGGCAUCACAAUGUAUUAAAAAACCCAUUUGCAGCGGUGUGUGGCGGGUUUUGUGGGCAAACAUUUGCAGCUAAAAUGUUUUGCAGACUUUGGGGAAAACCAGGGAAACAGGAAAACCAGUCUAUCCAAGGCUGGUUUUCUGCCUUCAGCUCCAAAACAAUCUUAUGUUUCAUGUGACCUUUUGUUUGAAAUUGAGCUUUUAUUAGUA